GACGAACGCUGGCGGCGUGCUUAACACAUGCAAGUUGAACGGGCAUACAUGGAAGCUUGCUGAAGUGUAUGUUAGUAGCGGACGGGUGAGUAAUGCAUGAGAAGCUGCCAUUGGGAGGGGGACAACAGUUGGAAACGGCUGCUAAUACCCCGUAUGCCGAAAGGUAAAAGGGAGCAAUCCGCCUGAUGAGGUGCUCAUGUCCUAUCAGCUGGUUGGUGGGGUAACGGCCUACCAAGGCGACGACGGGUAGCCGGCCUGAGAGGGUGAACGGCCACACUGGAACUGAGAUACGGUCCAGACUCCUACGGGGGGCAGCAGUGGGGAAUAUUGGGCAAUGGGGGAAACCCUGACCCAGCGACGCCGCGUGAGGGAAGACGGCCUUCGGGUUGUAAACCUCUUUUGUACGGGAAGAAGGAAGUGACGGUACUGUACGAAUAAGUCCCGGCUAACUACGUG
rnacentral:rRNA from 1 species